UACAGAGGGUGCGAGCGUUACUCGGAAUUACUGGGCGUAAAGCGUGCGUAGGCGGUCAUGUAAGUCGGAUGUGAAAGCCCCGGGCUCAACCUGGGAAUUGCAUUCGAGACUGCAUGGCUUGGGUGCGGAAGAGGGAAGCGGAAUUUCUGGUGUAGCGGUGAAAUGCGUAGAUAUCGGAAGGAACACCAGUGGCGAAGGCGGCUUCCUGGUCCGACACCGACGGUCAGGCGCGAAAGCGUGGGGAGCAAACAGG
rnacentral:rRNA from 1 species